AUUAAGGUUAACCUGCCCACUGAGUAUUUAAAUGGCCGCAGUAUUUUAACUGUGCAAAGGUAGCAUAAUCAUUAGUCUUUUAAUUGAAGGCUUGUAUGAAUGGUUGGACGAGACAUUAACUGUUUCAUAUAAAUUGAGGUUGAAUUUUAUUUUUUAGUUAAAAAGCUAAAAUAUAUUUAAAAGACGAGAAGACCCUAUAGAUCUUUAUAAAUUAAGUAUUUUUAUUAUAUAGAUAAUUUAAAUAAUAAUAUAACAAUUUAUUUUAUUGGGGUGAUAUUAAAAUAUAAUUAACUUUUAAUAGUUAAAUACAUUAAUUUAUGAAUAAUUGAUCCAUUAUUAAUGAUUAAAAAAUUAAGUUACCUUAGGGAUAACAGCGUAAUUUUUUUAGAGAGUUCAUAUCGAUAAAAAAGAUUGCGACCUCGAUGUUGGAUUAAGAGAUAGUAUUGGGUGCAGCAAUUCAAUUUUUAAGUCUGUUCGACUUUUAAUUCCUACAUGAUCU
rnacentral:rRNA from 1 species